GUCGGGAUAGCUCAUCUGGUAGAUCAUAGACUGAAA
rnacentral:tRNA from 1 species